GACGAACGCUGGCGGCGUGCUUAACACAUGCAAGUCGAACGAAGAGCGGUGGAAGCUUGCUUCUAUCAAUCUUAGUGGCGAACGGGUGAGUAACGCGUAAUCAACCUGCCCUUCAGAGGGGGACAACAGUUGGAAACGACUGCUAAUACCGCAUACGAUCUAAUCUCGGCAUCGAGGAUAGAUGAAAGGUGGCCUCUACAUGUAAGCUAUCACUGAAGGAGGGGAUUGCGUCUGAUUAGCUAGUUGGAGGGGUAACGGCCCACCAAGGCGAUGAUCAGUAGCCGGUCUGAGAGGAUGAACGGCCACAUUGGGACUGAGACACGGCCCAGACUCCUACGGGAGGCAGCAGUGGGGAAUCUUCCGCAAUGGACGAAAGUCUGACGGAGCAACGCCGCGUGAGUGAUGACGGCCUUCGGGUUGUAAAGCUCUGUUAAUCGGGACGAAAGGCCUUCUUGCGAACAGUUAGAAGGAUUGACGGUACCGGAAUAGAAAGCCACGGCUAACUACGUG
rnacentral:rRNA from 1 species